rnacentral:rRNA from 2 species
AGGUGCGAAAGCGUGGGGAGCAAACAGGAUUAGAUACCCUGGUAGUCCACGCUGUAAACGAUGUCGACUUGGAGGUUGUGCCCUUGAGGCGUGGCUUCCGGAGCUAACGCGUUAAGUCGACCGCCUGGGGAGUACGGCCGCAAGGUUAAAACUCAAAUGAAUUGACGGGGGCCCGCACAAGCGGUGGAGCAUGUGGUUUAAUUCGAUGCAACGCGAAGAACCUUACCUGGUCUUGACAUCCACAGAAUUUCAGAGAUGAAAGUGCCUUCGGGAACUGUGAGACAGGUGCUGCAUGGCUGUCGUCAGCUCGUGUUGUGAAAUGUUGGGUUAAGUCCCGCAACGAGCGCAACCCUUAUCCUUUGUUGCCAGCGGUCGGCCGGGAACUCAAAGGAGACUGCCGUGAUAAACUGGAGGAAGGUGGGAUGACGUCAAGUCAUCAUGGCCCUUACGACCAGGGCUACACACGUGCUACAAUGGCGCAUACAAAGAGAAGCGACCUCGCGAGAGCAAGCGGACCUCAUAAAGUGCGUCGUAGUCCGGAUUGGAGUCUGCAACUCGACUCCAUGAAGUCGGAAUCGCUAGUAAUCGUGGAUCAGAAUGCCACGGUGAAUACGUUCCCGGGCCUUGUACACACCGCCCGUCACACCAUGGGUGGGUUGCAAAAGAAGUAGGUAGCUUAACCUUCGGGAGGGCGCUUACCACUUUGUGAUUCAUGACUGGGGUGAAGUCGUAACAAGGUAACCGUAGGGGAACCUGCGGUUGGAUCACCU